rnacentral:piRNA from 1 species
UGCCAAGAUGUGGGUCCUUAGUUACCAG